rnacentral:rRNA from 1 species
AGCGAACGCUGGCGGCAGGCCUAACACAUGCAAGUCGAACGAACCUUUCGGGGUUAGUGGCGGACGGGUGAGUAACACGUGGGAACGUGCCUUUAGGUUCGGAAUAACUCAGGGAAACUUGUGCUAAUACCGAAUGUGCCCUUCGGGGGAAAGAUUAAUCGCCUUUAGAGCGGCCCGCGUCUGAUUAGCUAGUUGGUUGAGGUAAUGGCUCACCAAGGCGACGAUCAGUAGCUGGUCUGAGAGGAUGAUCAGACACAUUGGGACUGAGACACGGCCCAAACUCCUACGGGAGGCAGCAGUGGGGAAUCUUGCGCAAUGGGCGAAAGCCUGACGCAGCCAUGCCGCGUGAAUGAUGAAGGUCUUAGGAUUGUAAAAUUCUUUCACCGGGGACGAUAAUGACGGUACCCGGAGAAGAAGCCCCGGCUAACUUCGUG